GCACUAGUAGCUCAGAUUCAGAGCAUUG
rnacentral:tRNA from 1 species